GGGGGGCGGCAGGGCGGGCUCCUCGCCUCGGCCGGGGGUCGGAGCCCCUGGGCGGGUCACACUCCCUCUCUUUCUUACAUACAUGCUCACACACUCGCAUGUGUGCUCACAUGCACUUACAUACGCACGCACUUACAUCCAGACUCACAUACACACUCCCACACACACUUACAUACACACACAUGCUCACACACACACAUACAUGCACACAUUCCCACAUACACACAUGCUUACAUACAUGCUCACAUACACGCCCAUAGACAUGGACACGCUCCCCCCCACACACACAUGCUCACACACACACAUACAUGUACACACCCCACAUACACUUACAUACAGACACACACUCACAUACAUGCUCACAUACACACCCACACACACAUGCUCACACAAACGCUCACAUACAUGCACACCCACAUACAUUUACAUACACUCACACACACACUCUCACACACACACACACAUACACAUCCCUCCCCUCCAUUUCCUCCCCCAUCUUCCCCCCUUUGCUUUCCUUGUGGAGCCUAGGGCCCCUGGAGAUGGCCCAGAGGUCAGUGUCAUCGGGGACCCCAGAGACGAGCCCUGAGUUGUUUCCCAAGCGUGUUCCCUGAGGAGGCUCCUUGACUACCAUGUGCACAGCUCCAUCUACCAGCCUGACACCUGGGGAAGAAAGUGAGGAAAAGUUGUAGUAGCUGCUCUGGCUCCGAGAAGAGAGGGGUAUUUCCUGUGGUGCCUCCUGCCCAUCUUCUGGUCUGCGGGGUGAUCGUCCCCCUCUGCCUGUGCAAAACCACCUGCCCUACCUGGAGCGCACUGAAAAGCUGGGUCAUUCUCUUUGACAUCCCGCUUGCCUGAGAUCCAGUGAAUACACUGUAGGCAACCGCUGGCAGGGACUUCACCUUUGCUGUGUGCAUUGAACAGUCCUCACUUGCCGGAGAGGUGACAGUUACUCUCAGAGGGAGCAGCCUGCCUGGUGACUUUUAGGCAUAGCUUAGAAGUUGCAGGCUGGGUGAGUAGUGGGGGGGUGGGGAAGAUUCCCAUCCCCAUCAGCAUCCCCAUCCCUGGGGCUUAUAAUGCAGUGGGACUCACUUCUUCACUUUUUCAAACCUGUUUCUGUACUUCUGCUUCCCUGGAUGAGAUUGACAGCUCUGCACAAGCUCAGUUCCCUAGCUUGCUAGUUCAGCUCCUGUAUUGAUCCCACAACUCCCUUAUCUCCCCCCACUACUUCCACCCCUUCACCUUUACAGGGUCCUGGGUUCUCCUGAGCUUCCAUGACCAGUUGUGGGUACUACCUGAACUGAGCCACUUAUACUCAUUUCACUUGUGAUGAUGACCAAGAUGAAACUCAGGUUUCCAGAAGAACUAGGCAUUGUCUCUGCCACUUACUCCUUUAAACUCCAUAGUUAGUGAAUGAAUGCCUUCAGCAGCUUUGUGGCCUGUGACUUCAUGGUAAGACUUCUCACCCAGGAAAGCGGCAGAACUGACAAACAGUUCACAUAGCAGGUGGAGGUCAGAGGAACUGUCAAGACUUUUGCAGCAUCUCUUGAAGCCAAACAAAAAAUGUGAAAUGAGUGUCAUUCUCUCACCCUUCUCCAUUAUAGCUAUAAAUAUUUUCUGUUCAUUGCAGUGGUUUGGCAUGAGUCUGUUCUCUCUCUCUCUCUACAUGUCAGCACUUCUAUCCAAGAAUUUCUGGCUAGAACACAGCUAUAGGUUUAAACACUCUUCAGGUUAAAAAAUAUACAGGCAGGUAACCUCAGUAUUUGGAGAAAGAUAUGUUUACUGUGUGUGAGGCCUAGUGGGUAGAGCACUUACCUGGACUCAGUGGACAUGGCUUCAGUUCCUAGCUCUGCUCCUGACCUGUUGGGUAACCUUGGGCAAGUCACAUUAUUAUUCUGUGCCUCAAUUUCCCCAUCUCUAAUAAAGGGAUAAUGAUCUUG